GAUGAACGCUGGCGGCGUGCCUAAUACAUGCAAGUCGAGCGAACAGACGAGGAGCUUGCUCCUCUGACGUUAGCGGCGGACGGGUGAGUAACACGUGGAUAACCUACCUAUAAGACUGGGAUAACUUCGGGAAACCGGAGCUAAUACCGGAUAAUAUAUUGAACCGCAUGGUUCAAUAGUGAAAGACGGUUUUGCUGUCACUUAUAGAUGGAUCCGCGCCGCAUUAGAUAGUUGGUAAGGUAACGGCUUACCAAGGCGACGAUGCGUAGCCGACCUGAGAGGGUGAUCGGCCACACUGGAACGGAGACACGGUCCAGACUCCUAAGGGAGGCAGCAGUAGGGAAUCUGACGCAAUGGGCGAAAGCCUGACGGAGCAACGCGGAGUGAGUGAUGAAGGUCUUCGGAUCGUAAAAAUCUGUUAUUAGGGAAGAACAAAUGUGUAAGUAACUAUGCACGUCUUGACGGUAACUAAUCAGAAAGCAACGGCUAACUACGUG
rnacentral:rRNA from 1 species